rnacentral:rRNA from 1 species
AACGGAAAGGCCCUUCGGGGUACUCGAGUGGCGAACGGGUGAGUAACACGUGGGUGAUCUGCCCUGCACUUUGGGAUAAGCCUGGGAAACUGGGUCUAAUACCGAAUAGGACCGCAUGCUUCAUGGUGUGUGGUGGAAAGCUUUUGCGGUGUGGGAUGGGCCCGCGGCCUAUCAGCUUGUUGGUGGGGUAAUGGCCUACCAAGGCGACGACGGGUAGCCGGCCUGAGAGGGUGACCGGCCACACUGGGACUGAGAUACGGCCCAGACUCCUACGGGAGGCAGCAGUGGGGAAUAUUGCACAAUGGGCGCAAGCCUGAUGCAGCGACGCCGCGUGAGGGAUGACGGCCUUCGGGUUGUAAACCUCUUUCAGCAGGGACGAAGCGCAAGUGACGGUACCUGCAGAAGAAGGACCGGCCAACUACGUGCCAGCAGCCGCGGUAAUACGUAGGGUCCGAGCGUUGUCCGGAAUUACUGGGCGUAAAGAGCUCGUAGGUGGUUUGUCGCGUUGUUCGUGAAAACUCACAGCUUAACUGUGGGCGUGCGGGCGAUACGGGCAGACUGGAGUACUGCAGGGGAGACUGGAAUUCCUGGUGUAGCGGUGGAAUGCGCAGAUAUCAGGAGGAACACCGGUGGCGAAGGCGGGUCUCUGGGCAGUAACUGACGCUGAGGAGCGAAAGCGUGGGGAGCGAACAGGAUUAGAUACCCUGGUAGUCCACGCCGUAAACGGUGGGUACUAGGUGUGGGUUUCCUUCCUUGGGAUCCGUGCCGUAGCUAACGCAUUAAGUACCCCGCCUGGGGAGUACGGCCGCAAGGCUAAAACUCAAAGGAAUUGACGGGGGCCCGCACAAGCGGCGGAGCAUGUGGAUUAAUUCGAUGCAACGCGAAGAACCUUACCUGGGUUUGACAUGCACAGGACGCCGGCAGAGAUGUCGGUUCCCUUGUGGCCUGUGUGCAGGUGGUGCAUGGCUGUCGUCAGCUCGUGUCGUGAGAUGUUGGGUUAAGUCCCGCAACGAGCGCAACCCUUGUCUCAUGUUGCCAGCACGUUAUGGUGGGGACUCGUGAGAGACUGCCGGGGUCAACUCGGAGGAAGGUGGGGAUGACGUCAAGUCAUCAUGCCCCUUAUGUCCAGGGCUUCACACAUGCUACAAUGGCCGGUACAAAGGGCUGCGAUGCCGUGAGGUGGAGCGAAUCCUUUCAAAGCCGGUCUCAGUUCGGAUCGGGGUCUGCAACUCGACCCCGUGAAGUCGGAGUCGCUAGUAAUCGCAGAUCAGCAACGCUGCGGUGAAUACGUUCCCGGGCCUUGUACACACCGCCCGUCACGUCAUGAAAGUCGGUAACACCCGAAGCCGGUGGCCUAACCCCUUGUGGGAGGGAGCCG